GCCUCUGUGGACUAGCGGUAGAUCGCCCUGACCUUGUGAACCAGUAUGAGAAAAUCCGCGGGGAGACGUGGGUUCGAAUCCCACCGGAGGCA